rnacentral:rRNA from 1 species
UGAACGCUGGCGGCAGGCCUAACACAUGCAAGUCGAACGGUAACAGGAAGAAGCUUGCUUCUUUGCUGACGAGUGGCGGACGGGUGAGUAAUGUCUGGGAAACUGCCUGAUGGAGGGGGAUAACUACUGGAAACGGUAGCUAAUACCGCAUAACGUCGCAAGACCAAAGAGGGGGACCUUAGGGCCUCUUGCCAUCGGAUGUGCCCAGAUGGGAUUAGCUAGUAGGUGGGGUAAAGGCUCACCUAGGCGACGAUCCCUAGCUGGUCUGAGAGGAUGACCAGCCACACUGGAACUGAGACACGGUCCAGACUCCUACGGGAGGCAGCAGUGGGGAAUAUUGCACAAUGGGCGCAAGCCUGAUGCAGCCAUGCCGCGUGUAUGAAGAAGGCCUUCGGGUUGUAAAGUACUUUCAGCGGGGAGGAAGGUGUUGUGGUUAAUAACCACAGCAAUUGACGUUACCCGCAGAAGAAGCACCGGCUAACUCCGUGCCAGCAGCCGCGGUAAUACGGAGGGUGCAAGCGUUAAUCGGAAUUACUGGGCGUAAAGCGCACGCAGGCGGUCUGUCAAGUCGGAUGUGAAAUCCCCGGGCUCAACCUGGGAACUGCAUUCGAAACUGGCAGGCUUGAGUCUCGUAGAGGGGGGUAGAAUUCCAGGUGUAGCGGUGAAAUGCGUAGAGAUCUGGAGGAAUACCGGUGGCGAAGGCGGCCCCCUGGACGAAGACUGACGCUCAGGUGCGAAAGCGUGGGGAGCAAACAGGAUUAGAUACCCUGGUAGUCCACGCCGUAAACGAUGUCUAUUUGGAGGUUGUGCCCUUGAGGUGUGGCUUCCGGAGCUAACGCGUUAAAUAGACCGCCUGGGGAGUACGGCCGCAAGGUUAAAACUCAAAUGAAUUGACGGGGGCCCGCACAAGCGGUGGAGCAUGUGGUUUAAUUCGAUGCAACGCGAAGAACCUUACCUGGUCUUGACAUCCACAGAACUUUCCAGAGAUGGAGGGGUGCCUUCGGGAACUGUGAGACAGGUGCUGCAUGGCUGUCGUCAGCUCGUGUUGUGAAAUGUUGGGUUAAGUCCCGCAACGAGCGCAACCCUUAUCCUUUGUUGCCAGCGGUUAGGCCGGGAACUCAAAGGAGACUGCCAGUGAUAAACUGGAGGAAGGUGGGGAUGACGUCAAGCCAUCAUGGCCCUUACGACCAGGGCUACACACGUGCUACAAUGGCGCAUACAAAGAGAAGCGAACUCGCGAGAGCAAGCGGACCUCAUAAAGUGCGUCGUAGUCCGGACUGGAGUCUGCAACUCGACUCCAUGAAGUCGGAAUCGCUAGUAAUCGUGGAUCAGAAUGCCACGGUGAAUACGUUCCCGGGCCUUGUACACACCGCC